AUUGAACGCUGGCGGCAGGCCUAACACAUGCAAGUCGAGCGAGCGGCGGAGGGGUGAGUAAAGUAUGUGGAACUGUCCGAUAGAGGGGGGUAACUACAGGAAACGGUAUCUAAUAUCGCUCACUCUCGGAUGUACCCAUAUGGGAUUAGAUAGUGGGUGAGGUAAUGGAUCACCAAUGCGACGAUCCCUAGCUGGUCUGAGAGGAUGAUCAGCCACACUGGGACUGAGAAACGGCCCAGACUCCUACGGGAGGCAGCAGUGGGGAAUAUUGCACAAUGGGCGCAAGCCUGAUGCAGCCAUGCCGCGUGUAUGAAGAAGGCCUUAGGGUUGUAAAGUACUGUCAGUGGGGAGGCGUUACCGACAGAAGAAGCACCGGCUAACUCCGUGCCAGCAGCCGCGGUAAUUC
rnacentral:rRNA from 1 species